GUCUUUGGAGAGUAGAUUUCCAGUUUUUGGUCGAAUGGAAACUAUAUUUAUAGUGGUCACGUGUCUUUAUGGUAACCAUAGCUUGUGAGAUUAUAAUAAUAAUAUUUUUGUAUGGGGCACAGUUUUAUGACUUCAUUUAUGAUCUGAAUGCUCUCCAUUCAUUCUCAAAUCACCAUUGCUGAUAUUCCAUAAAUUGGUUGGCCAAGUCAAUAAGAAAUACAAGUGUUUACAAGCUUACUGUCAAGAGUGAAGGCUCGUAGGUUACAAAUUAUGUGAUAACAGAUGUUUAAUAAAUCUCAACUCUGGUGACCAGUGUAAAGGAAACUGAACAGAAACAUUCCAAAAAGUUGAUUAAUAUGGAAGUGAUUAAGAGUUCAAUUCAGGCUAAUCUACAAGUUCAUCGACGUUUAACAGAAGUACGAGAAGAAGAUGAAAUCAGCAGUUUGUUAUCAAAUCACUCACAGUCAAAUAGUCCGACAUCUGAUAUUAAAAAUACACAAAGUACUUCACAGAAAAAAGGUGGUACAAAGAAAGAUAGUGGACGUUUAUGGGAAAUCCGUGGUUAUGAGUCUUUGAAAAGAUUACAAAACAGUCACAGAACAGAUACGCAAACUGUCAAAACUACAGAAAAGGUGCAUUUUAACAAGGGAAGGAGAAGUGAAAAAGAAAUUCAAAAUAUCCGACACAGAAAAGAACUGAUGUUUCGAUCAGCCGAACAUAAUAAAUAUGUUACAGAACUCAUUUUAGCUCAAAAUCCAUUACCGAAUCAUUCAUUGUUUCCUUUAAGUUGAUAUCAAAGACAAGGUCUAAUGCUUAGAUCCAACAAACAUAAUAAAUAUCAUAUCAUACUGUCAUCUUAGCUCAUAAUCAAUAAUCAUUCAUUGUUCUAUAUUUAAAAUAAAUUAUUAUUAUUAUUAUAA